rnacentral:lncRNA from 1 species
AUGCUAACAAUUAGCAGUUUUUAAAUUUGUAACUCUUUACAAAUUGAUCCAAAUCAUUAAUCUAAUUGAUAAUUUGAUCAUAAUCCAAGCUAUUGAUCAGGAUGAGUUCUUUUUGUAUGUGAUCCCUCAGGUUCUAUUCUGUUUGGUAGUGAAAUAUAUUGUAAUCUCUAUCACAGUAUCAUCGAAACUCCUUUCGAUGGGUUGGAACAAUUCCAACUCACCCCACAACGAUCGUUAAUCCGAAAACGAUCCUAGUGAGUUCUCAC